GAUGAAGAACGCAGUGAAAUGCGAUAAGUAAUGUGAAUUGCAGAAUUCAGUGAAUCAUCGAAUCUUUGAACGCACAUUGCGCCCAUUAGUAUUCUAGUGGGCAUGCCUGUUCGAGCGUCAUUAAGUCCACUUAAGCCUAGCUUAGUGUUGGGAGACUGCUCCAGUGGUGCUACCCUGUAGCUACCCUGCAGCUCCUUAAAGACAGCGGCGGAGUCGUGUUAUCCUCUGAGCUUAGUAAAUCAUUCUAGCUUUCGAGAGUAUCACUUCACCUGCCGUUAAACCACCUAAUUUUUAUGGUUGACCUCGGAUCAGGUAGGAGUACCCGCUGAACUUAAGCAUAUCAAUAAGCGGAGGA
rnacentral:misc_RNA from 1 species